UUAUCCUAUUCCACCUUGAUUACUGGGCGGUGCUGUAGCAAGCUGUGCGUCAUCCUACUUCUUCCUGGAGCCUGAGUUUCGCGUCAGCAGCGUGUUUGGCGUGGCUGUGUUGGAUCCACGUGGCUGUCUUGAGACGCUUGUUGUCGGUCUUCCUCCGUUCAUUGUUGCAGCAGAGUCAGCUUGUAUUCGGGCCGGAGAUUGGGAGUCGGAAGUGUGCGGCCUCGGAGCCGUGCGUAAUAAUCCACGCGCUGCGUUGGAUUCCUGAGGUAGGCUGGCUCAUUUCUGUCUCGCGUUCUUAAUGCGCAUUUGUUGGGCUGCAUAUUGUGGCAACACGAGGGGGUGAUUAUUAAUUUAUAUAUUAGGGGAUCUCUUUACCGACAACGCCACCUUGGGGUAGGGCCCAAGGACCCAUCUUAAAGGUGAACUAUCACCAGAAAGACACUCAGGUUCGUUCACUCAGGGAGGGCAGGAGAUGGAGUUCAGUGAUCAUAAAAAAAAUAUUUUAUUAAUUCAAACAACGGGGUUUGGCACAAUAACCAAAAAGGAGAAGAGAGCCCAACUAGGGGAUACAGACUGAGGCUUACCGGCUGGAGGAGGGGGUGACAAGGGGGAGUGAAGUCCAAAAAGAAAAGGGAGAGCACCCCAAACACACAGCAAAAACGUGAAGUGCACACAAAGCAAAUCUUGAACAGGGGUCACACAGCACACAGGGGAUCACCACCGUCGGCUUUCAGCUGUUGGGGAAAAAGGAGAGACACAGUCAAGGCUCAAGGAUAAGAAAGAAAACAAACAAUAUCCCAUAACAUUAGGAAACAAAUUGUGAUUUAAUAAACUGACAAAUAUGGAUUUAGAUCAAUAAUAAAUCAACCAAACAAAAGAAACACAAAGGAAACUAAGGAGUCUCUGGCCAGAGAUAUCAACUCAAUAGUAAAUCAUCAUAACUGAUAUAACACAUAACUGGGAACUCAAACUGAGGAGAUCCCCUCCCAAAUGAAACUUAAUUAGGCUACAAUAAAUUCCCAAAAACAAAACAAGGAACUAAACUCAGAAAUUCAAGAGAAUCGACCAAUAAUUAAAUAAGAAAAUAAACAAAACAAUUAAGCUAAACCUUGAUUAACACGCACACAUACACACAGCCCAGUCCAGAUGGGUGGCUGAAAGUCCUGAUUGAGCUCGUGGCGUCCCACUGAUCGGGAGCCGGUCAGCACGAGCGGCAGCCGCACCACACUCGCAGAAGCAGGAGAGCGAGCCGACAGCAGGAAGCAGGUUGACACACACGCAGCCGACAGGAAGCCCAGUCCAAGCCGGCGAAGCAACAGCGAAACAGCGAAGCAGCGGUAGCCGCGGUAACAGUAGUAGCAGUAGCCGUGGCUAAAAGGCCAUAAUUAAACAGCAAUGCUCCUACUUAGCUUAGUGUCCGUGUGUUCUGGUGGCCAGCUGGGUAGAACCGGCGUCCGCCCAAAGAGGGAGAGGGGUGAAGAGAGUCACUGCGGCAGGGGAAGGCAGCCACCGCGCAUCCCACGUGCAGCAGGCUAUGCUCCGGUCGGCAGCGAUAGACCACCCUGGAUAAUCGCCUCGACUGCAGCGAGCGGCGAGUGCAACGACCUGGAAGAGGCAGGAAGCGAGACAUCAGGAGGAAGAGCCGA